AUAAUUUUUUAACGAUGAUUGAUCUAUCAAGUUGUAAUUUAUUUAUUGAUCAAUAUCAAUUACAAGUUGGACAGAAAUAUUUUUAUCAUAAUUAUCGUACAUCGAAGAUAUCUCGAUUGAAUCGAAACGUUCGACAGACUUCGAUAGUCGAUACUACGAUCGCAAAAUCCUUUCUAUAAAGCUAAUAGUGGUUUACUUUACGUUACGUAUUUAUCCAUGUAAUUUUAGAGAAUGAUCUAAAAUAAGCAAAUUAAGGUAAAAGAUGGAGAUGGAAAUAAAAUGAGAUAUUUGAAAAUAAUCGAUACGAUUUGUUCCAAAUCAUCCGAUUCCUUUCCCUUAACCUUAAAAAUCAACUAACCUAACAUUCUCAGCAUAAAAUGUAGAUGCAGAUUGAUCGAAGCACAAGGAAAUAAAUAUAUCGAUAAAAUUGGAUAUGCAGUAACAAUGGUUAAAUAAGGAAAGAAAUGCAAUGAUAAUCAUAAUUUUGAAGACGUACUUCGUGUUCACUAUUAUCUUCCAUUCUUUACGAACUACUUUCCCAUUACAUUUUUUGAUCAAAUCACACGGUUGAUAAAAACUUUUGUACAUUCGGAGACAAUAUCGAUCGGAAAAUUAAAGUUCCAAACACGAACCACGAUAAUUCUCUUCCACGAUAGAGGGAACACUUUCCUUUCUACGUUUGGCUGACCAUUUGUGCUCAAUCCGCAUGCCUUCGAUUAACAACCAAUGCCAUCGAAAUUCCUCGGUCAAAGAAACGGUAAAUGAGAGAGGUAAAGGAACGUUCGAAACGUCCAUACCAAAAAGAAGAUUGCGUAAAAUACGAAAAUUUAUCCAUCGAAAACCGAUUCAUCGCGAAAAUAUCUUCGUUAAAAAAAAAAAAAAAA